rnacentral:ncRNA from 1 species
AUCGGCGCCUCUGGAAAGCGGUGGGAGAACCCACCCGCCCACGGGGAAAGGGAUCGGCACCGCGCCGACCCGAAUCUCUCAGGCGCUCGGUACGAGCAAUCGACAGAGGGGGAGGA